rnacentral:rRNA from 1 species
AGCGAACGCUGGCGGCAGGCCUAACACAUGCAAGUCGAACGAACCUUUCGGAAUUAUUUGCGUACGGUUUAGUAACACGUCGGAACGUGCCUUUAGGUUCGGAAUACCUCAGAGAAACUUGUGCUAAUGCCGAAUGUGCCCUUCUGGGGAACGAUUUAUCGCCUUUAGAGGGGCCCGCGUCUGAUUAGCUAGUUGGUUGAGGUAAUGGCUCACCAAGGCGACGUUCACUAGCUGGUCUGAGAGAAAGAUCACCCACAUUUGAACGGAGAAACGGCCCAGACUCCUCCGGGAUGCACGAGUGCGUAAUCUUGCGCAACGGCCGAAAGGCUGACGCACUUCGGACGCGUGAACGCUGAAGGUAUUAGGAAAGAAAAGUUCUUUUACCGGGGAAGAUAAUGACGGUACCCGGAGAAGAAGCCCCGGCUAACUUCGUG